rnacentral:misc_RNA from 1 species
GCCAUUCCCUGCAGCACUCUCUCUCGCGAAGUCUCAAGUCUCAUACAUACGAAGGAGGCACAGCCACCACCGCGCCACCUCUCGUCCAUCCCCACCUCCUCCACAAAUAUGCCACUUUCUUUCACUCUCCUCUGUAAACCCUAAUUCUUGAUUCCUCUUUUUCUCUCUCUAAAUUCCUCUCUCUACACUUCUCGAUUCUCUCGCCUAUCGAUCCACUUUGAUCACUCUUCCCAAACGCUCACUUUCUUUCUUUAGCCCUUAGCCCUCUCUCAUUCUCUCUCUGAAAUUCGUAGCCUAUUCGCUCUUGAUUACAAGAUCUGUCUCGAUUGUUUUCUUGCUUGCUUCUUCUUUUAAUCGCCGUAUUUUAGGGUUUCGGAAUAUCUUUCUUGGAGGUCCGGUCAAGGCUGGCGGGUAUCCGGGUCAAGUAAAUGGCGGAUCCGCCAAGUAUCCG